AUUUUAUUAACAUAAUUCAUCUCGAUAUAUGACAUUUUAUGUCAUUUUACCACAUGAUAUAUCUUGUUUACUAUUGUUCAACUGGAUGGGCAAUUCUAACGUCAAGAAAAAAUACUAUGAUCAUCAGAAAUAUGCUAGUCAGUAUAGUCUUAUCGAUAUCAUUGGUGGGAGUUGUGCUGGCUCAACGAGAUCUUCUCACGUAGAAACCAAAUCCUACUCUCGUUCUUCCUGUAGAAGCUUAGUCCACAGUUCUCUUAGUUCUUCUAAGACGGCAUGGCCAAUACCUAGGUCCGAAGCAAUAUUUCUUCCAGAAUUUAAAGUCAGAAAGAUGACUUUAAAUGCAGAAUACAGCUUCCUUGCUCUUAUUGCCAAAGGUGCAUAUGGUAGAGUUUAUAAAGUUCAGAAUCGAGAGACUAAACAAGUUUUUGCAUUGAAAGUUAUCGCCAAAGCUCAAAUUGUCACUGAGAAUGCCAUCGCUCAAGCAAAACAAGAGGUUGAUAUUCAAAGAAUGGUUGGGCAUCAUCCAUUUAUAGUAAAUUCAACUCAUAGAUGGCAAAGUAGAAAAACUUUAUACAUAUUAACGGAUUAUAUAAGUGGUGGAGAAUUAUUCUCAUUAGUAGAAAAGUAUGGAUGUUUACCUGAAGAAGUAGUUAGAAUAUAUGUUGCAGAAAUUGCUUUAGCUAUUGAUUUUUUACAUAAUGCUGGAGUAGUGCACAGAGAUCUGAAAGCAACUAAUAUUUUAUUGGAUGAAGAAGGACACGCUGUAAUUAUAGAUUUUGGUUUAUCCAAGUGGUUAAAUCGACAACAAAGGACGAAUACUUUUUGUGGGACUCCUGAGUAUAUGGCUCCAGAAAUAUUGAAAAGGCUACCAUAUGGACAAGAAGUUGAUUGGUGGUCUCUCGGUGUUUUAAUGUGCUUUCUACUGACUCAUCGGUAUCCAUCCAUUGCACCCUGUGAACUUUUCUCAGAUCGUUCAGAACAGAAUUGUCCUGUUCCACCUGGGACUUUACCACCCGAUGCAAAACUCUCACCAGCUGCAACGGAUCUUUUGAAAAGAUUGUUGCAACCGGAACCAUCGUUGAGGCUUCGAUCAAUAUUAACCCUUCAAACGCUAGCUUUUUAUAUGGGCCAUAAUUUGCAAAGUUAUAUGUACAAAAAAAAAUCUCCAUUUAAGUUACUGGGCCAAUCGAACACGAAUGAUUCCUCAAAUGCACAAAUGCAUUUAGAUUUUGCUGACUUUGAUUUCGUUGCUGGGAAUCCCCGAAUGUAUGGAAUGAUACAUUGAGGAAUAUUGGUUGUAUACGCCUAUUUCAUUUGCGAGCUGAAAAUGUCAAUUAUGUGGUGUUAAUAGUUUAAUCGAAUCAUCUUUAAAUCAAAACACCAUACGUUAUACUUCUUCCAGUAUGGUAUUAUACAAAACUAAUUGAUAUAUAUAUGAUAUUAAUAUAAAUCAAAUAAAUGUCAACAUAAAUGUGCUUUACGAUGAAGCUAACAAUAAGUGUCAGAAGUUAAGAAAAAUGUUGAUUUGCAAAAGAAAUAUUCGUUGAAUGUGCUAUCGUGUGUAACUUAAGAUAUUUUUUAAGUAAUAAGAAAAAGCUUCCAAAUUUAAAAUAACAAAUUAUGAAACAUCUGAAAUAAGCAGUCGGAAGAUAUGCAUAAGUAACAUUAAAAUAAGACUACGAGAAAAAAAGAAAAGGAAAACUUUGUUCAAUAAA
rnacentral:misc_RNA from 1 species